UACGUAGGUGGCAAGCGUUGUCCGGAAUUAUUGGGCGUAAAGCGCGCGCAGGCGGUCCCUUAAGUCUGAUGUGAAAGCCCACGGCUCAACCGUGGAGGGUCAUUGGAAACUGGGGGACUUGAGUACAGAAGAGGAAAGCGGAAUUCCACGUGUAGCGGUUGAAAUGCGUAGAGAAUGUGGAGGAACACCAGUGGCGAAGGCGGCUUUCUGGUCUGUAACUGACGCUGAGGCGCGAAAGCGUGGGGAGCAAACAGG
rnacentral:rRNA from 1 species